rnacentral:rRNA from 1 species
GGACUACCCGGGUAUCUAAUCCCGUUUGCUCCCCUGGCUUUCGCGCCUCAGCGUCAGAAAGGGUCCAGCACCUCGCCUUCGCCACCGGAGUUCCGGUCGAUAUCAACGCAUUUCACCGCUCCACCGACCGUUCCAGAUGCCCCUACCCUCCUCAAGAUGUGCAGUAUCCACGGCACUUCUCCAGUUAAGCUGGAGGAUUUCACCGCAGACUUUCACACCCGCCUACGCGCCCUUUAAGCCCAGUGAUUCCGAACAACGUUCGCUCGGUUCGUCUUACCGCGGCUGCUGGCAC